UUAUGGAAUAUUGUGUAGUUCUACAAAAGAAUAAGUUACGUGUGUGUAAUUUUAAUGUGAAAUAAUAAAGCAGGGGUGAUGAUAUGGUAGCUAACAUGUGAGCUACUGUCUUGCGCUGUGGCUCAGAGAACAUCUUGUGCUGAGCAUCUUGUGCUGUGGUUUGGUCUCCAAACCAAAAAGACCCAGGGAUGUGUCUUAUGAAUUGGAGGUUUAGCAUUCGGUGUGGUAGAACUGAGAGGAAGUGGGCCUUUAAAAGAGGGGGGCUCAUGGGAGGUGAUUGGGCAAUGGGGGGCAUUGCCCUUAGAAGAGACUAAGGUAGUUCUGUGGGACCCCAUUAGUUCCCAUCCAAGCGAGUUGUCAUGGCAGAGUGCUCCUGAGCCCCGAAUUCUCUCUGGCUUCCUAUCUUAUAGUAUGAUUUCUCCUGUUUGCAUACCAUCCAGCCAUGAUCCUACCUGCUACGUGAUGCUCACAGUCAAGGAAGGAAGCCCUUGCUGACCUGAUGACACCUCCCAAUUCCAGACCUUUAGCUUCCAAAAUAGCUGAAGAAGAACCCAUGUGAUUGGCAGGAAAAGUUGGCAGGGAUUCCAGAAGACAAAUGGGAAAGAGGUCUUUUCCCACCCAUUCACCAAAUGUUUCCUUUGAGAGAUUUAUCCUGAAGACAUGCUUGCACACUUGCAAGUGGUUAAGUACAAGGUUUGUAGUCUUGCACUGGUUGUAACAGUGCACACUAAAGACAACUCAAGACUUAAUUGACAAGGAUCCGAUUAAACUAUGGGCUAGCAACACAGAAUACCCUGCUUCCAUGACGUCUUAGUUAGGGUUACUAUUGUUAUGGUGAA